CUACGGGGCGCAGCAGUGGGGAAUUUUGGACAAUGGGCGAAAGCCUGAUCCAGCCAUGCCGCGUGCAGGACGAAGGCCUUCGGGUUGUAAACUGCUUUUGUACGGAACGAAACGGCUCUCUUUAAUACGGGGGGCUAAUGACGGUACCGUAAGAAUAAGCACCGGCUAACUACGUGCCAGCAGCCGCGGUAAUACGGUAGGGUGCAAGCGUUAAUCGGAAUUACUGGGCGUAAAGCGUGCGCAGGCGGUUGUGUAAGACAGAUGUGAAAUCCCCGGGCUCAACCUGGGAACUGCAUAUGUGACUGCACAGCUGGAGUACGGUAGAGGGGGAUGGAAUUCCGCGUGUAGCAGUGAAAUGCGUAGAUAUGCGGAGGAACACCGAUGGCGAAGGCAAUCCCCUGGACCUGUACUGACGCUCAUGCACGAAAGCGUGGGGAGCAAACAGGAUUAGAUACCCUAGUAGUC
rnacentral:rRNA from 1 species